rnacentral:rRNA from 1 species
GACGUAGGGUGCAAGCGUUGUCCGGAUUUAUUGGGCGUAAAGAGCUCGUAGGCGGCUUGUUGCGUCGACUGUGAAAACCCGCAGCUUAACUGCGGGCUUGCAGUUGAUACGGGCAGGCUAGAGUUCGGUAGGGGAGACUGGAAUUCCUGGUGUAGCGGUGAAAUGCGCAGAUAUCAGGAGGAACACCGGUGGCGAAGGCGGGUCUCUGGGCCGAUACUGACGCUGAGGAGCGAAAGCGUGGGGAGCGAACAUG